rnacentral:lncRNA from 1 species
UGGAACAUGGCAAACCAAUCAAUAUGCAAAUAAUUACACACCAAAGAGUAUCAGUACCAAAAAAUUUUUUGAGGAAAAGAGUAUCCGUACCAAUAAAAUUAAUAGUGCAAAUAAAACCUCUUAAAAUUUCUUGCUAAAUAUAUGGAGUAAGCAGCCAAUCCAUUCAGGGACUACAACAAUUCACACAUCCAGAGAUCUAAAUAUAUGGGACCUAAACCAAAAGCUUUCAACUGCUUGGCAACAAUAUUUGUCUGCGAUACUCUUUGGGGGAGAAGAGCUUCUGUUUUUGGACAAUAAGAGGAAGAGAGAGAAAAGCUGAAAUAAAAGAGCAUAUUAACAUAAAUUAAAUCAUGAUUUAUGUAUUUACCCUUCUUUUUAAUUGUUUUUCAAAAGGAAAGUUGGGGUAUUUUUGUCAAAACAUAAAAGGUGUUCCAUGCUAAAACACAC